GAUGAACGCUGGCGGCGUGCCUAAUACAUGCAAGUCGAGCGAAGAGACGAGGAGCUUGCUCCUCUGACGUUAGCGGCGGACGGGUGAGUAACACGUGGAGAACCUACCUAUAAGACUGGGAUAACUUCGGGAAACCGGAGCUAAUACCGGAUAAUAUAUUGAACCGCAUGGUUCAAUAGUGAAAGACGGUUUUGCUGCAACUUAUAGAUGUAUCCGCGCCGCAUUAGCUAGUUGGUAAGGUAACGGCUUACCAAGGCAACGAUCCGUAGCCGACCUGAGAGGGUGACCGGCCACACUGGAACUGAGACACGGUCCAAACUCCUACGGGAGGCAGCAGUAGGGAAUCUUGCGCAAUGGGCGAAAGCCUGACGGAGCAACGCCGCGUGAGUGAUGAAGGUCUUCGGAUCGUAAAACUCUGUUAUUAGGGAAGAACAAAUGUGUAAGUAACUAUGCACGUAUUGACGGUACCUAACCAGAAAGCGACGGCUAACUACGUG
rnacentral:rRNA from 1 species